ACAUGCAAGUCGAACGGUAACAGGAAACAGCUUGCUGUUUCGCUGACGAGUGGCGGACGGGUGAGUAAUGUCUGGGAAACUGCCUGAUGGAGGGGGAUAACUACUGGAAACGGUAGCUAAUACCGCAUAACGUCGCAAGACCAAAGAGGGGGACCUUCGGGCCUCUUGCCAUCGGAUGUGCCCAGAUGGGAUUAGCUUGUUGGUGGGGUAACGGCUCACCAAGGCGACGAUCCCUAGCUGGUCUGAGAGGAUGACCAGCCACACUGGAACUGAGACACGGUCCAGACUCCUACGGGAGGCAGCAGUGGGGAAUAUUGCACAAUGGGCGCAAGCCUGAUGCAGCCAUGCCGCGUGUAUGAAGAAGGCCUUCGGGUUGUAAAGUACUUUCAGCGGGGAGGAAGGGAGUAAAGUUAAUACCUUUGCUCAUUGACGUUACCCGCAGAAGAAGCACCGGCUAACUCCGUGCCAGCAGCCGCGGUAAUACGGAGGGUGCAAGCGUUAAUCGGAAUUACUGGGCGUAAAGCGCACGCAGGCGGUUUGUUAAGUCAGAUGUGAAUCCCCGGGCUCAACCUGGGAACUGCAUCUGAUACUGGCAAGCUUGAGUCUCGUAGAGGGGGGUAGAAUUCCAGGUGUAGCGGUGAAAUGCGUAGAGAUCUGGAGGAAUACCGGUGGCGAAGGCGGCCCCCUGGACGAAGACUG
rnacentral:rRNA from 1 species